GACGGCGAGGUGAAGGUCAAGUAGAGACGUGCCGUGCUGCUGGACCUGGAGCGGUGAAGGACGGACGUGAGGCUUGGACUGACGGACCAGGAGGCCGGGUGACCAGCCGUAGUGGCUGACAUCUGGGACAUCGACAAGUGCAAGUGUACAUGAGAGUGACCGUGUUGACCAAGUCAAGACGGCGGACGCGAGUCGAGCGAGGCUCAGGAGGACUUAGCGGGCCGGCCAGUCGAGGACGGCGGUGACACGUGUCGAGUGGCGGGGAAGCGUAUGGAGUACGCUACUCGCGGCGGUUUUCGCGGGUUUGGGCCUCAAAACCCGGGCGGAGGUCCCGAUGCGGACGGACGACACGUGGCGGCAUCGGUGAGAUCGCUUCGGAGCGAGGCUACCGGUGAGGAGGCGCGGUGGCCGUCGGAUUUAGGUCAUGU
rnacentral:lncRNA from 1 species